GGCAUCAUCCAAUCUUCUUUUUUUAGUCAAUCAUAAUUAGUAAAAUAUUUGAUAUCUUAGAAAAACAGGUCAUUGGCUGCAAAUUAGGGUAUGAAACUUGGUAUUCAAAUACUUUAAUGUUCCUGCUUCUUUAUUUGAUUGUCAUUUUGAAUAGAAUUGUGCUAACCUAAUCAUCUAAUGAUUCCCAUCCUUAAGUAUGUAGACAUUUGAUUAUUUAUUUCCCAUUAAAAGGUGCUUACACUGUUACACAUGUUAUGUAAAGUAUUUGGCUUGUCAAAUUUGGAUAUCUUUUCUGUUGAUCUUUGGGUCAAAGUCUCUUAUGAGAUCCCUUGAUUUUAGAUAUAUAUUUGAUGCACAGAGUCUAUUACUUGAUUCUUUUUAUAUCUGGCUGGGUAUGAUCUAGCUCCCUUGUCUGACUGGUGUCCAUUAUGAAUUGUUUGAUUUACAAAAAGGUAAACCUUCACAAAUUCCAGCAGUUGAAGUUGAGCCUCAAGGAUGCUCUUUUAAUCCAGAGGAUGAGAGUCAUAAGGACUCCUUGGCACAAGCUGUUGCAGAAGAGAUGGAGAAAAUUUAUAAAAAAGAGCUGGAGCCUGAGCCAAUUCUUUUAACUGUUCCCGGAGAACCAGUCACUGAAGAUGAUUGGACAAUGAAGACGAUGAGGAAAUGGACGAGGAAAAUCAAACUGAAGAUGGGAAUAUCAAAGAUGAAAAAAGUUACUGAGGAUGAAGUGGAUCUUUUAUAUGACUUAUUCAAUAAACUCAGCAACUCUGUUGUCAAAGAUGGUUUUAUUCAAAAGGAAGAACUUCAACUUGCAUUAUUUAAGAAUAGUAUGAAGAGAAGCCUUUUUCUUGACAGAGUAUGUGUUUCCUUUUUGUUGUUAGAUGCUGAUGUCCCAUAUUUCAUGCAAGAAUUUCCGAUCUAUAGUUGUUCACUUGUUCUUUUUCCUUCAGUUUACAUAAUACUGAAGUAUUUUUUGCCUUACAAGAUAAGUUGAGCAGUGUUUAUUAAGUAUGAACUCUUGAAGUUAUAUUACUUCAGAAUUCAUAAAACUGGACAACCUUUUAGCAAUUUGAACUGUGGGAAUAUCAUUGUAUGAUCUGAUUCACUGAUUGCUAGGUGUCACGUGUCGUUUUGGCAGUCAGACUGAUAUAUAUGGUGGAUUUUAUUACUAUCUAGGGCCUUGCACAUGCUGACAAAUUACUAAUUCACUACUGUUUUUGUUAUAUGCACUUCCCAGACUAUUGUACUGACUUAAAAUGUAUCACAGCCUUUUGCCACAGCCUUACUUACUCGGUUAAUUGCAUAAUUGCAAAUUUUUGAUCUCUUUGAUGUCAACCACAAUGGCUGCAUUGAGUUUGGAGAGUUUGUUCGAUCAUUGAGUGUCUUUCACCCUAGAACUCCUGACAAAGAUAAAAUGAAGUGUAAGCGAUACCAUAACUUAUAUUUAAGCCCGAAGUUCCUAGAUAGCUCAAUAACUUGUUUUGCAGUAAAUUUAAAGGGUUGUUUAGUGAACUAAGCUGGUUUUUGCAAAAAACUUUGGUUAAACCAUUUCUUCUUUUGAUUAUGUCUACGUUGAUUUCCACGCUCCUUAGUGUGGUCACUGCAAGCGUCUCUCUCCUGAGGUAUCCCACUUCAUUUUUUGGAUUGAAUUGAAUGAUUGUAAGUUUUCUAAAUGAUAAAGUUUUGAUUUUGGGUUAAAUUGAAUGAUUAUAAGUUUAUUAGCUGAUAAAGUUUUGAUUUUUUUAUUAUAUUAUAUGCUUUUUGGGUGAUAAAGUUUUGAACUUUUGAUUUUUAUGCUUCUUGGAUUAUAAACUACUUUUGAUUAUAAUUGUUUUCUUGGAUGAUAAAGUUUUGAUCUUUUUGAUUUGGCUUUGCAACUAUUCUGGGUUGUCUUUGGUCUUCCUUCUAAUGUUGAGCCUUCACUACCGGGAGCGUGUGAUAGGAAUCUAGGGCAUCCCUCCCUUUCUACACAUACCCCUCCACCACCACCACCACCACCACCACCACCAGUCCACCACAAUAAGAUAAGUCUUGAUAGUGUAACCAUUUGAAGCGACUUUUCAAAUAUUGGUACAACUCUAUUGGCAUACACUAGAAAUCAAAGUUUCUCUGAUCAAAAUGAAAAGUAGUGCCUGAUCUUUUUCCGUGCUUACUAUCUCUUUUUUGUUUACAACAGGCUUUGUCUUGCUUUCAUGGGUAGAACAUGGAGGCUGGUUCAUUCAUUGGGAACUCUUAUCUUAAAUGUCAGUCUGCAUUAUUUCAUCUCAUCAUAUUGCAGAUGCUGCUGGUUGGCCAAAAGCUUAUGAGUGUAUAUCUUGCAGUUAUUUAGAUACUAUAUUAUGACUGCUGUUAUGCUCUUAAACUAAGCUAAAAUUUUGUAGAGUUGGUGGAUUUGCACUUGCAAGUUAAUGCCAAGUACAUUAAGAUUAAGACUUUGUUGUUGACCUUUGAACUAUGCAUCUAUAUGUUUUCCAUUUCUAUACAACUAUACAAGUAUAUAUGAAAUAUAUAUUUGUAAUCUUUGAACUGUAUUUUUAUCCGAGACAAAGGUCCUGACCGUGGAACAUGAAUAUGAUUUUCAGUACUUGGUGGACUGCUGGUAGAUGUAUAAACACUAUGAAGUGCUAAACUUCUUUAUUGUGUACUUUGUCUCUGAAGAGCUUAGUAAUUUUUUAUUGAACAAUUGAGGA